GUCCCCAUCGUCCAGCCAGGUCAGGACUCCGGUUUUUCAAGCCGGCAACAGGGGUUCAAAUCCCCUUGGGGACGCCA
rnacentral:tRNA from 1 species